CGAAGAUGUCUGCAGAAAACCGACCAGUUACUGUUGCCAGAGGCAUUGAUGAGAAUGGUUGGAAGCCAAAAGGGAAGGAGGUAGAAGUGCUCCUGGCUGCAGAGAAGCGUGCUGAAGUUGGUGGUGUGGUCAGGUGCAGCAGUGGCAGAGCUUAGCAGCAUUUACCAAAAUGAGCUGAAGACCUGCUGUGCUGUGGCACUGCUGUGGGAGGGAGGCAGGCACUGAGCUGACAGUGGGCAAGGAGUGCUCUGUAGGCACUGAGACCUCCAUGGUGGUUCUGCCCUCAGAGCUCUCAAGCGAAGGCAAGCUUCUAGACUUCUG
rnacentral:lncRNA from 1 species